rnacentral:rRNA from 1 species
UACAGAGGGUGCAAGCGUUGUUCGGAAUUAUUGGGCGUAAAGGGCGCGUAGGCGGUGCGGUAAGUCACCUGUGAAAUCUCCUGGCUCAACUGGGAGCUUGCAGGCGAAACUGCCGUGCUGGAGUGUGGGAGAGGUGCGUGGAAUUCCCGGUGUAGCGGUGAAAUGCGCAGAUAUCAGGAGGAACACCUAUUGCGAAGGCAGCUCGCUGGGACGUUACUGACGCUGAGACGCGAAAGCGUGGGGAGCAAACAGG